rnacentral:rRNA from 1 species
GUGGGGAAUCUUCCGCAAUGGACGAAAGUCUGACGGAGCAACGCCGCGUGAGUGAAGAAGGUUUUCGGAUCGUAAAGCUCUUUCGUUAGGGACGAACGUGCUCUUUGUGAAUAAUGAGGAGUAAUGACGGUACCUAAAUAAGAAGCCACGGCUAAAUACGUGCCAGCAGCCGCGGUAAUACGUAGGUGGCAAGCGUUGUCCGGAAUUAUUGGGCGUAAAGCGCGCGCAGGCGGGAUAUCAAGUCUGUCUUAAAAGUGCGAGGCUCAACCUCGUGAGGGGACAGAAACUGGUAUUCUUGAGUGUCGGAGAGGAAAGUGGAAUUCCAAGUGUAGCGGUGAAAUGCGUAGAGAUUUGGAAGAACACCAGUGGCGAAGGCGACUUUCUGGACGAAAACUGACGCUGAGGCGCGAAAGCCAGGGGAGCGAACGGGAUUAGAAACCCCAUAGUCC